rnacentral:rRNA from 1 species
UCGAACGGGAUAUCACUUGUAGCAAUACCGGUGAUGUCUAGUGGCGUAAGGGUGCGUAACACGUGGGGAAUCUGCCGAGAAGUGGGGGAUAGCUCGCCGAAAGGCGAAUUAAUACCGCAUGUGGUUAAGUGAAGACAUCUUCGCGACACCAAAGCCGGGGCAACCUGGCGCUUCUUGAUGACCCCGCGGCCUAUCAGCUAGUUGGUGAGGUAACGGCUCACCAAGGCGAUGACGGGUAGCUGGUCUGAGAGGACGACCAGCCACACUGGAACUGAGACACGGUCCAGACACCUACGGGUGGCAGCAGUCGAGAAUUUUUCUCAAUGGGCGCAAGCCUGAAGGAGCGACGCCGCGUGGAGGAUGAAGGUCUUCGGAUUGUAAACUCCUGUCAUUAGGGAACAAAGUCCCCGGUUAACUGCCGGCGGGCCUGAUAGUACCUGAAGAGGAAGAGACGGCUAACUCUGUGCCAGCAGCCGCGGUAAUACAGAGGUCUCAAGCGUUGUUCGGAUUCAUUGGGCGUAAAGGGUGCGUAGGUGGCGCCGUAAGUCAGGUGUGAAAUCUCGGGGCUCAACCCCGAAACUGCACUUGAUACUGCGGUGCUCGAGUACUGGAGAGGAGAUUGGAAUUUACGGUGUAGCAGUGAAAUGCGUAGAUAUCGUAAGGAAGACCAGUGGCGAAGGCGAAUCUCUGGACAGUUACUGACACUGAGGCACGAAGGCCAGGGGAGCAAACGGGAUUAGAUACCCCGGUAGUCCUGGCAGUAAACGGUGCACGUUUGGUGUGGGAGGAUUCGACCCCUUCCGUGCCGGAGCUAACGCGUUAAACGUGCCGC